rnacentral:piRNA from 1 species
UAUGUAUGUGAUUCUAGGUGG